rnacentral:rRNA from 1 species
CCUACGUGAGGCAGCAGUGAGGCAUAUUGGUCAAUGGCCGAGAGGCUGAACCAGCCAAGUCGCGUGAGGGAAGACGGCCCUACGGGUUGUAAACCUCUUUUGUCGGGGAGCAAAGAGAGUCACGUGUGACUCCUUGACAGUACCCGAAGAAAAAGCAUCGGCUAACUCCGUGCCAGCAGCCGCGGUAAUACGGAGGAUGCGAGCGUUCUCCGGAUUUAUUGGGUUAAAAGGGUGCGCAGGCGGAGGGUGAAGUCAGCGGUCAACUUGCGGGGCUCAACCCCGUACUGCCGUUGAAACUGGACGCCUUGAGUUCACAACAGGCAGGCGGAAGUCGUGGUGUAGCGGUGAAAUGCAUAGAUAUCACGAGGAACCCCGAUUGCGAAGGCAGCCUGCCGGGGUGCGACUGACGCUGAGGCUCGAAGGUGCGGGUAUCAAACAGGAUUAGAUACCCGAGUAGUC